CCGACGGUGAGGGGUGAAAGCCAGGGGAGCAAAGGGGAUUAGAUACCCCCGUAGUCCUGGCUGUAAACGAUGCGGGCUAGGUGUUGGGUUGGCUUCGUGCCAACCCGGUGCCGCAGUGAAGACGAUAAGCCCGCCGCCUGGGAAGUACGGCUGCAAGGCUGAAACUUAAAGGAAUUGGCGGGGGAGCACCACAAGGGGUGAAGCCUGCGGUUUAAUUGGAGUCAACGCCGGGAAUCUUACCGGGAGCGACAGCAAGAUGAAGGCCAAGCUGACGACUUUGCUAGAUGGGCUGAGAGGAGGUGCAUGGCCGUCGCCAGUUCGUGCCGUGAGGUGUCCGGUUAAGUCCGGCAACGAACGAGACCCCCAUCCUCUGUUGCUAGCCUGCUUCUACGGAGGUAGGCGCACACGGAGGAGACUGCCAGUGUUAAACUGGAGGAGGGAGGGGGCUACGGCAGGUCAGCAUGCCCCGAAUCUCCCGGGCCACACGCGGGCUGCAAUGGUGAGGACAGCGGGUUCCGACCCCGAAAGGGGAAGGUAAUCCCUUAAACCUCGCCGUAGUUGGGACUGAGGGCUGUAACCCGCCCUCAUGAACAUGGAAUCCCUAGUAACCGCAUGUCACCAUCGUGCGGUGAAUACGUCCCCGCUCCUUGCACACACCGCCCGUA
rnacentral:rRNA from 1 species